rnacentral:rRNA from 1 species
GACGAACGCUGGCGGCGUGCCUAAUACAUGCAAGUAGAACGCACAGUUUAUACCGUAGCUUGCUACACCAUAGACUGUGAGUUGCGAACGGGUGAGUAACGCGUAGGUAACCUGCCUGGUAGCGGGGGAUAACUAUUGGAAACGAUAGCUAAUACCGCAUAAUAUUGAUUAUUGCAUGAUAAUUGAUUGAAAGAUGCUAUUGCAUCACUACCAGAUGGACCUGCGUUGUAUUAGCUAGUAGGUGAGGUAACGGCUCACCUAGGCGACGAUACAUAGCCGACCUGAGAGGGUGAUCGGCCACACUGGGACUGAGACACGGCCCAGGCUCCUACGGGAGGCAGCAGUAGGGAAUCUUCGGCAAUGGACGAAAGUCUGACCGAGCAACGCCGCGUGAGUGAAGAAGGUUUUCGGAUCGUAAAGCUCUGUUGUAAGAGAAGAACGGGUGUGAGAGUGGAAAGUUCACACUGUGACGGUAUCUUACCAGAAAGGGACGGCUAACUACGUG